AAUUAAUCUGAGACAUGUGUUGGCUCUUUCAAACCCACUGCCUCGCGAUCAAGCCCAAACCACAUGUACCGAUCGUAACUGCCAGCACCUUGUCAGUCCAACAGAUGCGAUCUGACGAUCCUCCCAUUGGAAACGGACCCGAUCGGAGUUGUCAUACUGGGUUUGCGAUCAGUAUGCUGUAAUCCCAACCGUCGUACGCUCCAGUGCACCCAUCGCGAUCCAUCGCUCAGUAUGCGGCCCGCCUUACACGACUCAGACUAAGCCGCCAACCCCAUCGCUCGACACUUGGACAGCCGGAUUAGAACUCGAUCAGUCCUUCUCCACGAACUCGGUCUAUCUCGAUCAGUUUCUCCCCUUUUUCUCUCGGUUCUUCUCUUUAUAUAUAUCUCUAUGUUCUCUCUGUCUAGAAAUUCGUGAUCCCCAUUUUUGUCUGCGAAAAUCAUAUUUUAAGGGUGGUUGGACGGUUUUCUUUCCAAAACCGUCGCUUUCCAUAACUACCCCCGCGCGUCCCAAUUAGUUUGUAACUGUCCUCGAUAGUUUCUCACUAACUCCCAACAGUUCCAAUUGCUCUAUAAUCGCCUUAGCAGUUUAUGGACUCAACUGUCCUUGUCAGUUAAGCAUCUAAUAACUACUCUGGAAUUGUUCCGGUAACCGUUUUGAUAACUGCUUAGUAACUGGCUUAUCAGGACGUACUUAUCUCAGUAUCCGUUCCUGUCAGAAUGUAUAUCAAUCAGUCUCUACACUAACUAACUAACUAACUGAUCUCGGAAGACAAGUCCAACCGCCUUCUCUGAAACUCGACCAACUUAAUCUGACAAGCUCAAUUGCUAUGUCCAGAUUCUACAACAUUAUCUUAACCCGAUCAUUACUAUCCAAAAGACAUGUCAAAUUUGUUUGGCUCGUCUGAUGAGUCCAACUAAAUGUGCAUUUUUGGACUGAUCCAGCUCAGACUCUGAAACGAGGAUGCUAUACCAAAUCUGCGGUCCGGAUCAAAAUGUUUUUUUUUUAAGUUGAUUUAUUAUGAUAUGGAUCAAAAUGUUAUUUAUGAGAAUCAGCUAAAAAAAAGUUAAAAAAAUAAAAUUGCAAAUUACCACUCAAAUGGGUUAACCUUACUCUUUGAGAAUUCAACUUUCGAUGAUGGCGAAUUACUCAUUCUCCGAAAAGAACAAAUCUUGGAGAGGCAGUAGAAGAAAGUUGUGUUGAUUUGAGAAAAUUUCUAGGGUUGAGAAGGAGACAACGGAGCUAAAGUCUCAGGCGGCGAGUUUCUUCGUUUUUGAAACAUGAUGUUCCAGGUCUCAGAUGUAGGACACAGAGACGUAGAGACUCCAAGCAGCAACAAUGGUCAGGACAACAUCGGUUCGAUGAACAAGAAGCAUCCCUACGCAAGACAAGAAGCAGGCUUUUCAUCAAAUCAUGGUGAUAACCAGGACAACGAUGAGCUUCCAAGAAAGAGAAACUAUUCAGAAGCUGAAAAAGGUUCUUCAUCAAAGCAUUCUUGUAUUGUUGCCGAUGCCACCACAGCUUCGAGUCUACACACAUAUACACCGGUGUUUCUUACACAAGAUUUCACAAGCUUAGGUGGUCUUAAAGGGAAAUGUGACAAGAAAUGUAGUCCGAAACGGAUAAUAUCGUCAAUGGGGACACGAUUCGUAACAUUUACACUUGCACCUGUUGAUGUCAGACAUUGUAGACUGCGUCUUCCAAUGCAAUUCUCGAGGGAGAAUGGCAUCAAUAAGCCUGGCAAAAUAUAUCUGUUGGGUAACGAUGGUUCAAAGUGGCUGGCUAACCUUCUCCAGGAAAGCAGAGGAAGAAUGACUGUGGGAGACGGCUGGAAAUCAUUUGUUAAAGCUAACGGCUUAAAGAUCGGUGAAUCCUACACACUGGAGUUGAAUUGGGAAGACACAACUCCUGUUCUCAGUUUAUGCCCUACAGAUCAUCAUAGCAUUGGCAUUAGAGCAGAAGGAGAGUGUUCAGAAGCAAGCGGGAAUGAGUCUCUUCCCAUAAGACCUAGCAGCGGAACCGAAGUUAUCAAAUAUGACAACAGGAAAGAUGAGAGCAGUUCAUGGGAGAGAGAGAAGAAUCAUCUGCGAUCGAGAGAUUCAAGUUCAGCAAGCCAAAACCGAUUCCUGACAUUAACAAUUACACCUGACAGUCUCAGACAUGGUAGACUGCGUCUUCCAUUGGAAUUCAUGACGGAGAAUAGCAUGAACAGGCCUGGGGAUAUAACUCUCUUGGGUAAAGAUGGUGCAAAGUGGCUGGCAAGUCUUCUACUAGAAAGAAGGGGGCGAAUGUGUUUGGGAAAGGGAUGGAAAGACUUUGCUAAGGCAAACGGCUUAAAGACUGGUGACUCCAUCACGUUGGAGUCAAUAUGGGAAGACUCAACUCCUGUGCUCAGGUUGCUCCACAUAGAGUCAUCAGAUGAUAGAAGGCAGCAAGGUGAGUGCUCAAAAGCAAGAGAUAAGGAGUCUGCUUUCACAGAACCUAGCAGUGGAAACAAGACCAGGAAACUAGAGAGCAACAGAGAAGAGAGCAGAAUAUACCCUCUUACAAGGCUAGAUUCAUCUUUAGUGAACCAAAACCGAUUUGAGAUAUCAACACUUUCACCUGAAAUAGUUCGUCAUGGUGCUCAUGAUUAUCAAAUUGGCGAAAUUGUUGUUUUCAGAGAUGAAAGAGAUAUGAUGUUCCAAGUCUCAGAUUUAGGACCUAGAUUCUCUGUGAUUCAAAAUGUGCUAGCUCCAAGCAGCAACAGUGAUCAGGAAAACAUUGGUAGCAUUUCAACAAUAAGAAAAGAAACAGGCUUUUCAAUAUAUGAUGGAGAUGACCAGUACAACCUUGAGCUUCCAAGAAAGAAGAAGGCGAAGAAGAACAACCCGGGAACAGAAGCAUAUUCUUCACCAGAACGCUCUUGUUUUGUAGCCCAUGUCACAGCUUCUAAUCUACACACGGAUGCACCGCAUCUUCCACAAGAUUUUACAAGCUCAAAUAGUCCGACACAGAUAGUUUCAUCAUAUUUGUCAAGCGAGAAACAAGUAGCAACAUUCACACUUGCACCUGUUGAUGUCAGGAAUUGUAGACUGCGUCUUCCAAUGCAAUUCACAAGGGAGAAUGGCAUAAACAAGCCUGGGAAGAUAUAUCUGUUAGGUAAAGACGGUUCAAAGUGGCUGGCAAAUCUUCUCCUGGAAAGCAGAGGAAGAAUGACUUUGGGCGACGGCUGGAAAAGUUUUGUUAAAGCAAACGGUUUAAAGACAGGUGAAUCCUUCACGCUCAAGUUGAAUUGGGAAGACACAACUCCUGUUCUCAGUUUGUGCCCUCCGGAGUACAGCAUUGACAGUAGAGAAGGAGGUGAGUGUUCAGAAACAAUCGAGAAAGAGCCUCUUCCCAUAGUCCUUAGCUGCGGAAAAGAGAUCAACAAAGAAGAUGAAAACAGGAAAAGGGAGAGCAGGUCAUGGGAGAGAGAGACAAAUCUUCUGAUAUGGAGAGAUUCAACUGUACUAAGCCAAAACCGAUGUCUGACACUAACAAUCACACCUGACAGUCUCAAACAUGGUAGACUGCGUCUUCCAUUGGAAUUUAUGACGGAUAACAGCAUGAACAAGCCUGGAGAAAUAACUCUACUGGGUAAAGAUGGUGUUAAGUGGCUGGUUAGUCUUCUUCUGGAAAAAAGAGGUAGAAUGAGCUUGGGAAAAGGGUGGAAAGAUUUUGCUAAAGCAAAUGGCUUAAAGACAGGCGACUCCAUUACGUUGGAGUCAAUUUGGGAAAACGCAACUCCUGUGCUCAGUUUGCUCCGUGUAGAGUCUAGCAAUGAUAGCGAGGUUUCAAAACAGUCGGGAAACAAGACCAGGAAAGAAGAGAACAGGAGUAGUUCAUGGGAGUUGGAGAAAAGAAGAUCUUCAUCAUCUUCAGAAAUCCAAAACCGAACCGUGAUAUUAACACUUACACCUGAAGGUGUCAGAGACUGUAAACUGCAACUUCCGAGUCAAUUCAUGAGGAGUAAUGGGAUCAUGAACCCUGGAAAGAUAACUCUGUUGGGUAGAAGUGGGAUGAAGUGGUUUGCAUAUUUAUUGUCAAAAGAUGGAACAAUCGCUUUGGAGAAUGGAUGGAAAGGUUUCUGUGAGGCUAAUGGGGUGAUGGUAGGAGAGUCUUUCGUUUUGGAACUCAUUCCCACACAAGACGCAGACCAUGUUUUCAAGUUCUACUCCAACUACGGAUACCAUAUACAUAAUAAAUGUUAAUUAGUAAGCUUUUAUUCAACAUGUUUCUAUGGAUAUCAUCACAGACAGAUUCUAAAUAUAUCAUUUAACAGGUAGCUUUCUAGCAAUGUCCUUU